rnacentral:lncRNA from 1 species
UACAGUUGGGUGCAGACCAAGCAUUACAUGUAAACGGGCCUAAAAAGUUAACGCGGCGUUUACUCGCGUGCACUUCAUGUAAACGCCGCGUUAACUCUGCGUUAACUCCGAAAUUUUAGUAGACAUAAAUAGUAAACGGGCGUUUACUUUCGCGUUUACCUCCGCGUUAACGCGAAAACCGUGCGUCUUCUAAUUUUGUAAAGAGUAAACGGGCGUUUACUUUCGCGUUUACUUUGCGUUAACGCGAAAAAGGUGUGUCUUUUAUUUUUGUAAAAAAAAAAGUAAACGCCCGUUUACUGUUUGUAGUAAACGCGCGUUAACGCAGAUUGACCUCGUAUCCUGGAUACACUGACCUAAUAUAUCACAUGAUAAGGUACAUCAAAAUAUCCAUCUGUCCAUUUUCGAUCAACACAUUGACGAUUGCAUUUAAUGAAAUGACACCUCUUUAAUUAAUUUAUUGAAAAUUAAUCAUUGCAUAUAAGAACAAAAUGGAAAUUCGUCCUGGAGCUGUAAAACCAUUCGUGAGAGGAUAUUAAGUAUAAGAAGAUCUGGCAAAAACAUACUGAAGUUAGAGAUGAGUUGAUACGAUCAGAUAAUGUUCAAGUUUCUAGACAGGGGAUAAGUGCAUUUCUACGACGUUUCCGUCAGAGUGGAUCUGUUACUGACUUUAAAGUAAACACUAGACAGAAAAUGUUACAGGAAGUACAUCUAGAAUUUAUUGACGAAACAAUUCGUAAUGAUCUAGAAAUAUCCGCUAGAUAAAUGUUUAUAUUUCUAAUAAAAAGUGUUUUUGAAUGUUAAGGUUCAAAACACAUAUACGUAAAAUAUUAAGUCAUUUUAACAACAUAAAUAAAUGUACAAAUGCACACG